UGAGAACUCUAGAAAUCCACACUCAGAGGAAUGAAGUUGGACACUUACCUCACACUAUAUAUAAAAACUAACUCGUAAUGGAUCAAAGACUUAAAUGUAAAAG